UACGUAGGGGGCAAGCGUUGUCCGGAUUUACUGGGCGUAAAGCGCGCGUAGGCGGACGCUUAAGUGUGGCCUGAAAGCCCCCGGCUCAACCGGGGAGGGCGGCUGCAAACUGGGCGUCUUGAGGGCGAUAGAGGUCGGUGGAAUUCCUGGUGUAGCGGUGAAAUGCGUAGAGAUCAGGAGGAACACCCGUGGCGAAGGCAGCCCCCUGGGUCAAGAUUGACGCUCAUGCACGAAAGCGUGGGGAGCAAACAGG
rnacentral:rRNA from 1 species